CUACGGGGGGCUCCAGUGAGGAAUAUUGCACAAUGGGGGGAACCCUGAUGCAGCAACGCCGCGUGGAGGAUGACGCAUUUCGGUGUGUAAACUCCUUUUAUAUGUCAAGAAAAUGACGGUAGCAUAUGAAUAAGCACCCGCUAACUCCGUGACCAGCAGCCGCGGUAAUACGGAGGGUGCAAGCGUUACUCGGAAUCACUGGGCGUAAAGGACGCGUAGGCGGGUUGGAAAGUCAGGUGUGAAAUCCUACAGCUUAACUGUAGAACUGCACUUGAAACUUCUAAUCUAGAGUAUGGGAGGGGGAGAUGGAAUUAGUGGUGUAGGGGUAAAAUCCGUAGAUAUCACUAGGAAUACCUAAAGCGAAGGCGAUCUCCUGGAACAUUACUGACGCUAAGGCGUGAAAGCGUGGGGAGCAAACAGGAUUAGAUACCCGGGUAGUC
rnacentral:rRNA from 1 species